GAUGAAGAACGCAGCAAAAUGCGAUAAGUAAUGUGAAUUGCAGAAUUCAGUGAAUCAUCGAAUCUUUGAACGCACAUUGCGCCCGCCAGUAUUCUGGCGGGCAUGCCGUUCGAGCGUCAUUUCAACCCUCAAGCACAGCUUGGUGUUGGGACUCGCGUUAAUUCGCGUUCCCCAAAUUGAUUGGCGGUCACGUCGAGCUUCCAUAGCGUAGUAGUAAAACCCUCGUUACUGGUAAUCGUCGCGGCCACGCCGUUAAACCCCAACUUCUGAAUGUUGACCUCGGAUCAGGUAGGAAUACCCGCUGAACUUAAGCAUAUCAAUAAGCGGAGGA
rnacentral:misc_RNA from 1 species